rnacentral:rRNA from 1 species
CGGCGGACGGGUGAGUACACGUGGGUAACCUGCCUGUAAGACUGGGAUAACUCCGGGAAACCGGGGCUAAUACCGGAUGCUUGAUUGAACCGCAUGGUUCAAUCAUAAAAGGUGGCUUUCAGCUACCACUUGCAGAUGGACCCGCGGCGCAUUAGCUAGUUGGUGAGGUAACGGCUCACCAAGGCGACGAUGCGUAGCCGACCUGAGAGGGUGAUCGGCCACACUGGGACUGAGACACGGCCCAGACUCCUACGGGAGGCAGCAGUGGUCA